AUUUGCUUAAUGCUCUAACCGUGGCAAGCUUGGCUGGAAGGCAGGCUACACAUAGCAGGGAAGAGGGUAGACUCCAUGAGGAGAUGGGGCAGGAUCCAGGGUGUGGUAGCCGACUUAGAGCACACUUCCCUUGAAAAUAUGGGACAAAUAUUUAAUAACGAACAUUGGUCGGAGCCACAAGUGAGUAAAGAGCUAGAUGUUUCCAGGCGGUCGCGGGUCUCAGCGUUUGGGUAAUGGCAGCCCUCUGCUUCCAGAGCGUCUGUCCAAUUCGCAGCACAACUUCACAGGGCAGAGGGAUCAAAGUCCGAGAGUUGACAAGCCAGUAAAACUUAAGAAAGGCACCCGCGUCUCAGCCAACUGGGCUGGGAUCCACCACUAGGAUUUAGUUCUUGCAAGAGAGUCAGACUCCAACUCCGGGACAGAAGCAGAGAUGCUCUCUAUAAAGCCGUGGAGGGGAAAAACAGGCUCAGCCCUUGGAAACAUGAGCCUGGCUUCAACUCGACUCUUGGUCGCCGCCGUAUACCUGACUUGGUGAAGAAGAAAGGAAAGCAAACAUCUCCCAGCAGAAUGAUCGAGCGCAAAGCGUUCAAAACUUGCAAUUCUGACAGACAGUCCUCGAGGGAAGGUGGGGUUCAUGGUUUUUGAGGGGUUUUUGCCCAUCGUGAUAUGGGAAGGACAGAAGAGAAGUUCAGGUCAGGGUGGUCAAAGCUGCUGAUACUGCCACAGACCAGUGUGCAGAGUGGUCAGGACCCUGAGCUGGGGGAAUGGUCAAAGGCACACUCCUAGAGACCAACUUGUGCUCGCUGAUCCCUGCCUCUUGAAAGUUCCACAGCCUCUCAGAAUAGUGCCCCCUGCUGGGAAGGAAGAAUUCAAGACGUGAACCUGGCGGGUGGGGCUUGGGGGGUGGAUUUCAGAUUGAAACUAGAACAGAAGGCCCAGAAAAGGGAGGUCGGUGAGAGUCUGUAUUCUUAAUUCAGGACGGCUUACAAAUAUGACUAGUUAAUUUAUAAGAUGUAAACUAAUACUUAAAAAAAAAAGAAUUUAGCAAACCAGACAGGGAAUUUCAGGACGGCAGUGACCUUUGUGCUUGCUGAGGCAUCGUAGGCGACAGUCUGCUGGAGUCCGGGAAGCCAUCUGCAGCUAGAGGGACCCUGCAGCUAGGGGGACAAUGAGCUGUCUGUCUCCUCCUCUACCUCCAGCUCUCCCUUGAGGGUUUGCGUUGGCAGAAUCUAAGCAGGAAUUUCUGGGAAAUUUAGUUUCCAGAUGUUACAGCCCCUGUGAGUCAGGACACAGAAGGGGAAAGAGCUACCAUGGCCACGGGGCCCAAGUGAAAGACAUCAAUUAUUUUAGGGUGAUGUCAGAGAAAGUGGGUCGCAGUGGAAAUGGAGCUCGGCGAGGCCGAGUCUGGGUGGAAGGACUGUGGGGAAGCAACACCCCUGCAGACAGGAACUGUGAGACACGCUAGGCAGAGUGACAAGGAGGUUGAAAUGCCACAACCUUCGAGAGUGACAGAUGCUCUUUGUUUUAAAGAGCUCAGUAGCGUGUAUAUAGAAAAUAAAGGCACCGUGGAUGGGACAAGGGGACUGUAAGAACCUGUCCCCCACUCUUGCUGAUAGUUUGAAAGCAUUCUGUGAAAUAAAUAUUCUUCUUCCAGACUAGGCAAAAAUGAAAACGGUUAGCAUUUGGACCUCGGUGUUGGAACUGGAGGUUAGAAGGUAGAAAUGUGGGAGGGAGUUAGACCAGAAGUUGACGGAACUUGGCAAGGUGAGUAGCAGGAGGAAGGCAGGAGCAACCAGGACUCCACAGUCUGUGGGGUGCGUAGCAUUGUGAACGGGCACCAUGAAUUGAGACAUGGCCAUAAAAAAAGUCGGAGCAGUUCCCUUUGGGAUGUGUUCUGUGUUAGGAUGUGAAACUACAGACAUCAAUAAUCAAGACAGAGGUGGUGGUGUGUCGUGUCCCCCCCACCCGCUUCCUGCUGAACAUACAUGACACCUUUGCAUACAAAGGGAAGUAUAACUCUCUACGUGUGAGUUUGGCCACAGUCACAGAAAAGAACUGAUUGAUAUCUAUCAAAGAUAUUUCCCCAUCUUAUUCCCCGAUGGAGCUUGAUGCUUGAAAUCCAACACGUGGUACUUCAAACUCCUGGCUUUAAGUUAAGGCACCUUAAAGGUUUGUGCUGCCCAUCUACCUGUGGUGUGGCGUGCUGAGACUUGCUUUGUCACACGUACCCUGAAAACAAUCAGUGCAUAUACACACACUAGUGCUGCUAUAUGGCCAGAGCUCGCAGCAUGGCCUAUUACAUGAUUUUUCCAGAAAGAUGAUAACAGGCAUCACACCAGACAGGGCAUCAGUGUCAGGUCACAGAAAUUACUCUACUAAAUUCCAGCUUGAGGAACCAAGGAAUCUUUUGGGGUUAUAUACAGCAACGUAGCAAGGGGCUCCUUGAAAGAACCUGAGUGGCUUAAAAGCAGCUGUACCCCCCAAAAUGACCCACCAGAGCUUCGUCCCCGGGACUCCCCACCUAUCUCAAAGGUAACCCCUUAGAGAGUCUCGUCUUGAGCAACAAUUAAUUAUUGCUUAUAUAACCCAGAGUGGGGCCUGUCCUGUUAACUUCUGCUGUCAACCUGACAGCCCAGAGUCAUCUCAGAGAGGCUCCAUUGGGGAAUCAGAUCGAUCAAAUUGUCCUGUGGCCAUGUCUAUGAGGAAGUCUUUUAGUUGUGGAUUAUUGUCAGAGGGCACAGUCCCCUGUGGGUGGUGCCAUUCCUUAGCAGAUGGUUCUGGGCUAUCUAACAAAGCUGGCUGAGCAUGAGGGAGAGAGAGAGAGUAAACCAGCAUGCAGUGUUCCUCCAUGCAACUCUGCUCCAGAUUCCUGCCUCUCGAGAGGUCCUGCACCGGCUUCCCUCCGAGAUGAACUUCUACCUGGGAGUGUCUAUUGGAACAAACACUUCCCUCCCCAAGUUGUUUUUGGUCAUGGUGUUUAACAGAAUGACAUAAAGGAAGCUAGAGGAAGGCAUAUUCCUACUAAGUCUUGUAAGCUUCCUGGGCCUGCUAAAUUUUAUGGGUUUGUGAGUUUUGCUAGCUCCUUGUGUCUUAUGAGCUCCUGUCCUCUCUUAACUCUCCAGGAGGACAUGUUUCAGUUCGGGGGCAAUAGCUACACAGUAGUGCCCAUGAUGAGCCAGAGCUAGAAGAAUCACUGGCCCCUACAUAAAGCCCUGAUUGUCAGAGAGACAGGAGGUCUUCAUGAGUCUGGGGAAACUUGCUGUGACUUACUUUGUCCUCUGUCUUCAUAGGCUCCCUGCCUGCUCUAUCUAUUUUUUCUUCUAUUUCUUUAACAACUUGAUUGUUGAAACCCCAGGAAAUUCUAAGCCCAUUUCUCCCAUCAAAAUGAAAGGAACUUAUUGAUGAAAUCAUGAGUCCAUUAAGAUUGAGUGGUACAUCUCCAUUAGGGCCACGAUUUGCAUCAUAAAACAGAUUAACAUGAAAGGUGGAAGCACUCUUCUUGGAGAGGAAAUGCACAAAAGAAUCUUUUAGGGCCUUCCGAAUUAAAGCAGAAUAAACACUCCACCAGGCACAGAGAGAAGGCAAGGGACAGGGGGGAAGGUUUCGACAGAGCCAAGCAAGACUGAAGACCUGCAGCCACAUAAGUGGUGUGACUCAUAGCUUAGUUGUGGGUAGACAGCAGAAGCCAGGGAACAUUCGGAGCUGAAAGAAACACUCGUAUUAAACAUUCUGCUGGAGCAAGGGUUCCCACUGCAGUGUGCUUACAGAGCCCUGCUCUGAAGUAUGCCUGGGCCGGCCGUUCUCGCUACUUUAAUGGAGUUGCUGAGAACCACCCUCUUGCCCGGCUAAGAGCCUGUGGUUCUGAGUGGAUGAGAGUGCUGUUCUCCUCAACCUUCCUCAGAAUGUUGAGAGGACAGUUCUGUGACAAGAGCUUUGCCAUGUGGCCUCCCCAGGAAUCUAGAUUGUUCCGGAUGAUCAAAGGAUAAUGAAAUAAACCCUACAUUAAUAGAGCACAGGGUUCUGGGAGUGUGUUGGGGGGCGGGGAUGACGUCUUCUCUUGCCUAUCAAGCUGGUGCUGUUUGUGUGUGUAUCACUUGCUUAGCAGCAUCAAGACCUUUAGCUAAAAGGAGAGGCUGGCUUAAAGGAUUGGAGCACCCGGGGGAUUCGCUGUUUGAUGGAAACAGGUCAGAGAAAGGAGCAAGAGAAUGAUCGGCCGUCUUACUCUUCUGGUGGGGUCUCUUUGCUCAUGUGUGAGAGGCAGUUCAUGCCAGCUCACAGACAUCAAGCAGAAUUUCUUCCUAAUUCCCCCACUCAGUGACUUCAUAGGAGGUUGGCACUGGCUAGGAUAGGAAUGUUUACAUUGCCAGAAUUGGCAGAUGUCACAAACCAGGGUGUUUUUUUCUCCCCUACUGUGGUUGCCUUGUUUUCUCCCCUAGAAAAUUUAUCGUUAAAUAUUUAUCAGCAUUCUCCUGGAAUUUGAUUGAAAGAUAAUUUGGCCAUCAAAGCAGCCACACGGCCUUCUGAAACUCUGGCUGAAAGCUUUCUGAGCACAGCAAGGGUCAAACAAGUGACCGGGCGGAGCUCGGCGGAAUUUGGAAAAAGGGAAAGGAUUCUUGGAAUACACGCCUGUGUGACAUACUCACCCAUGAACACUCACCUGAGGGUCAGUGCUCACAGGGUGACAUGGUAGGCACCUCUCGAAAGUUGUAAAGGGACCUUUAGGAAUGUGGCCACGAGAUGGACACUACUUAGACAUGAUGUGGGCCUCUUUCUCAUUGGACCAGGGACUUCAGAUAAAGGAUAAGACCCAGGAGGCUGGGCCUCAGAAGGACCAAUUUACAGGGCAUUUUGAUAGUGAACCAAUUAACCUCUUCUACCUAUAGGGCUCAGACAAAAGAUAGUUGGGCUCAGGAUGCAUUCUGGGAGCACUGCCGCGUGUGGGUGGUAAUGAUGUGUCAGAAGUUCUUUUUCAGAUGGGCUAAGUAGACUCCAGUCCUAUAUGGAAUGUCCGAGGCUGUGUCAGAGAAACACAAAGGUCUCUUCUGCCUCCCUUCCUGGGUUCUAGGAUUCUUCUGAAAAGAACCCUAAUGCUAACUAGAAGGUAGAAGAGUGGAAGCCCAGACACAGAUUAAGGAGUACACAUAGGUUCGGCCACAAUGGAGAUCAGGGAGGGAGGAUCUUCAACAAACUAAGAAAGAACCAGUGUAUGGCCCACUACAGCGUGUCCAGGUUAUUUACCUGAGGGACCGUAAGCCAACCUAUCACCCUGUGAACACUGCUGUGAGUUCACAAUUAUGGCUGAGUUAUGUACGGAAGCAAGAGAAGCGUCCGUCAACAAAUGACAGGGUUAAAUGGAGUGUGUGUGUAUAACGAAACUUUAGUCAGCUCUAAGGAAGAGCAGAAUCAUGCUGUUUGUUGAAGAACGGGUGUGACAGAAACUAACUAUAUGAAAUAAGUCAGCAAGAUAAGUGUCACACAUUUUUAGUCCUUUUGCACAUCCUUGGGUACACACACACACACAACACACCCUCACACACACUAAGGAAAAAAAAACUGGCUUCGAAGGACAAAAGGAGGCUACGAAAGGAAACAUAUUUGUUCGACUUUGAGGAAGAAGCCGAUUUGUCUGAAGGAGUCUGGGGACAGCCCUGCCUUUGUCUGAUAAGCCCUCUCUGCAAGUCCCUGUAAGCCAUAUGUGUUUAAGAUGUAGAGGAUCAGCUCAGGGGAUCAGCGCACAGCCCUGGAAGCGUUAGCAUGCGCUUCCUACUUUAAGCAGCUGUCUGGCAAAAUGGUCUGUCACUGUCAUAGGGCAGCCGAGCAUGAGAGUGCUUUGACAGUGCGAGUCUGUCUCAAUCCUUCCACCCAAACUCAAAGGAACGUCUUCCCAAAGGCCGAGGGCAGCCAUUCUUUGCAGCGGGAGUAAGCUCGGCUGAUGGCUUAAUCUGGAAGCCAAUUGGCUUUCAAGGAGACAUAACUCACUCCAUAUUUAGAGAAACGUUUGGAGUCUAUUGGGACUGCUUCGGGAGGGGAUUUGAAAACUUUGAAAAGGAACCUGAUAUGAACACUGACCGACUGGAAGACCUUCUGUCUUUCACAAGUGGGCACGUACCUGGCAGCCCUUGCUGGCUUGGCUUCAACUCCUAGAUCCCGGAUCAUGGAAGCCCUGGAGGGUCUGGCAGUUGGUUCCGGAGUCAACAAGAAGCAGGCAGCCACCACCAACCUAGAAGUAUUAUCAUGGUUUAACAGCAAUCCAAGCAAUGUCUCUGCUCCUGAAAUGGAACCUGGGCCUUGUUGGACGACGUGGGACAAAGGAGAGAGGCAGGUCCACUGUGGGGUCUGUCUGUGUUUAUAUGGUUGGCAGAGCGCGCUUUGAUGUCACCCUGAUGACGUCUGUCAUCUUCCCCACACCUGCUAUGGCAUGGCUGCCUUCAGUCACAAGCCUGAUUCACAGCACACUCUAUGUUUAGCAGCGCUCUGAGAAGGAUUCCAGUCUGCCUUCAGCCCUAAAUAGCUACAAAUAUCAGAGUAGCAGCGGCAGCCCUUCAAAGGCCUUUUUGGGAAGUGUCAUGCCAGAGAUGGGGUGACACAGAGGAGCCCCAGAAAGAAGCAAGAUGUCACCUGGAAACUGGAGGGAAAAAGAAGAAAUGAACCAGCGUCGACUGCUAAGAAGGUGAAGAAAUGAACCAGCGUCGACUGCUAAGAAGGUGAAGAAAUGAACCAGCGUCGACUGCUAAGAAGGUGAUAAAGUUGACCAUCUGUUCCUCAGACGAUGUUCUGCGCUUUUCAACCAAGUAAGAAUAGAUCUCUGGAGAUGAGAAGAUGACCACCACGUGUCUUUUCCCAGUCUUUGGAUGGUACCUUUCACAUCCUGGAAGGGAGAAAGCUGAGUCACCACCACAGAGUCUGAACCUGAUUAUCAUAUUCAGUAGCCACUGCCAAGCAUACAUUAGCACCUCUCCCAGAACUACUCUCUGUCUGCACAGGGCACCUGGACACUCUGCUCAUGAGAAUGCAAUACCCAACAUGAGUCAAGAAAGCCCAAAGACGUCCACCCUGAUCUGGUGAUAGAUGACACCUGACCUCCUUAGCCAAUAUGCAGACUGAGACUGUAUCUGGCAGAGUUUCUGGCUGCAGAACCCUUGACCGUCAGAAGUGAAUGAAAGUUUGGUAAGCUGUGCUGGAGCACUGCCAGUGUGCGGUGCUGUGAGCCGCCCUCACAGGAUUUCAGGGAAGAACUGUGGGGAGGAGGCACUGAAUGCCUUAGAUGCAGCGGGGAGAAAACCCUUCCUCCUACACCCUUAAAACAGAGCGAAAGGAAACAAAAUAAUAAAACUAAUAACAAAAUAACAAAAUAAUACCCCCCCACAAGCUACACCCUUACUUUUCUGGUCUCACCUGCUGCUUUCCUUAGGAGAUAGUUUCAAUGGAAAAGAUUCUAAAGUUCAUGUGUUCGAAAGCUUCUUGACCUUGCAGUUGGCGAUGAUCUUUGGGGGGUUAUGGAACUGUGGCUGGGGUCACUGGGAGCCAGGUCUUUGGGGUCACAGCUCUGCCCUAUUUUUGGACCCAGUCUCUCUGUGUGUCAUCUGUCAAGAAGUGAGCAAGCUCUCCUACACUCCUUCUGCUCUGGUUCACCUCCACCAAUACCCGUACUCUCAACCCAGGGGUGAAAAUUCCUUUCUCCUUCAGUGUGCUUCUUCCUGGGCAUUUGGUAGCAGCAAUUUCAAAAGCUAAGCUACCUUACUAGUAUGAGCUUCAGUGGUUUACACCAGGUAGGUCGAGGGAAAGGUAAAACUUGGGAUUUGCUCAAAACAUGGCCACACACACACACACACCUGAUGCUCGACACACACAGCCAGGCACACCUGAUGCCAGAAAGGGUGAGGUGGGGAUGUCAGAAAGUCCUGGGAGGAACCCAGGCUGUGUUCUAGGCACAUAUCUAUAGCUCAUAGUUUGUGUGUUCUUGGAAGACACAGAAGUAUUAUAAACUCGUAAAUAGAAUUGCAUAAGACUGUACUCAUGACAUAAAUGAUUCCUCACACGAGCGAACCAAGAAAGCCCAAAGAUGUCUACCCUGAACUGCAGAUAAAACAUCAUCAGACCUCCUUAGUUAGACGCCGCUGACACACAUUCGGAGAUCUUAUCCGGCAGAGUUUCCAGGCGUACGGAAGGUGGAUUGAGUUCAGGAUGAAUGAACUAUUGAACAGUGGAGCUCAGGGAGUGGGCGAUGGAUUAGUGGACAAAAAUAGCCCUGGACACCUGUGUAAAUCCUUGGUGAUCUGAUCUACGCCAUAAAAACCAGACAGUGGGCAUCUGUAACUCAUAAUAAGUCCUUUCUAACAUCACUGAGGUUAUCUUAAAGAGCCUCUUGGUGCUCCCCUCCCCCAUAGCUUUAGAGUGGGGCCAGGCUGCUAACUGCGCCAACGCUGCAUUUGGAGGGCUGUGACUUGCAGCCUGACCUCCUGGAACUGAGUGGAGCAGCAAUCAACAAUGACUUUGUAAGCUGAUCCCUGCUACAGACCGUACAAAAUCCUCAACGGGGAGAGCUGCUUACCUACAGAGGUCACAGGAGCUCUGUGCUCACCACCCCUAAUGCCCGUGUUCCUUGAAGUUGGCUGUUCCUGAGUUGUAUCUUUUGAAGUGAACUGACAUUGAUUCCUUUGGAAACUUGGAUGGCAUCGUUUAAUCUGUGGAGUGGGAAAAAGGAGACGAAGGAAGGAAGAGGAGAGGAGACCAUAAACCUCGCUGAGAGCUCACUGGAUCCGGGAAGUUGCUAAUAAAAACCCAGGCGGGGAUGGCACCUGCAGACAACUCACUCUACCUAGCCGUCAGAGCUGGCCUGGAAGAACAAAGGCUUUCUGGGGAGCUGCAAAUCACACAUUGAUCUUGCCCGAGAGUAUCUUUCCUUAGCGAUGAGAAGCUGGAAUAAAACGAAGUGGAAUGAAAAGCGGCAAGCAGAGGCCCUGAAGACUCCCACAGAAAUCCUGGUUCUGCAGAUUUACCUGUGCCGUGGGACCCACCUGUGUGGGACGAGGCACUUCUUGUUGAGCGUUCUGCUGCUCCAGAGUGCUUCAGCAUUACGUGUGGAAAGCAGAGACUUGAGGAAAAAUCAGUCAAACGAGAGCAUUGCAUAACUCGGACCACUGGAAAAUCCAUUCCCCCUUUAGGCAUCCCAAUGAGGGCAGUAACAACUAAGCAUGUUCCGGCUGUCGUGCUUACUCUAAUGCUGGCACUGGGGAGGAGAGGAGGCAAGUGCAUCCUAGGAGUUUGCUAGCAAGUGAGCCAGCUUCACCCCCUCACGCCACUCCCGGUUGCUAGAAUAGGAGGGCCUCUCCCAGAAUACUCCACACAACAGAUGGUUGAUCUACACCAGGAAACACCCAAAGAAGAAGACCAAGGCCACCACAGGCGGCAACUUGCCUACUCACCAGGGUCCAAGGAAGACCUCCAUCCCAUGGUGGGUAGAGUCCACAUGUGGGUCUCUGGGCUCUCUUCUCUGGUCUUCCUGUCCUCGUUGCUUUACUAAGGGAGACCUGUGAGCAACAGUGUUUUAACGCACGUUAUAGACGACACCGGAGUGUGGCUCUCACCAAAGCGUGUGCCUGACGUGAAGUGUGCCAGACUCCACGAGAAGUGUGUCUGGGCCAACUGACAGCAGUGGCUCUGGCUUUGACACGGCUCUCAGCACUCCCAUUCUGUUCCGAGAGGCCAGGAAGCAGAUGGAGAGAGAAUAAGCAAUGCAGUGGGAUGUCUACAUCUUGGCAGUCAGUUCACGGCGAGCUAUGUUUCUCAAGCUAUUAAGAUACAUGAUGCUACCUGUACAUUUAAUCUCUAAUCAAGUAUGUAAUUUUUUUAUUGCCUAGGGUAUGUCUAUGCAGUUGAAAGCAAAAACCUGUGUUCUAUCUUUAAAGAAAAAAUAAAACAACAACAAUAACAACCACAACACCCCUGUAAAAUCAAGAGAGAGGGAGCAAGAAGUUGGGUGGGUGGUGAGGUGGGGGAGAAUCGGGGAACAAUGGAGGAGGAAAACAAUAUAAUCAAAACAUACUGUAUGGAAAUUAAAUGUCCACCCUGCUCCUUGUGAAGUUUGCUUCCUUCACAGUGAUGUGAAGGGAACAGUGAUAUGCUUCCCCAAGGGGCACGAAGGAGAGGUGCUCUGAGAAAGUGACAUAAACAGGGAAGAUUUUUCUUCUUUGUAGAGAAGGGCGUUAGAGUACAGCAUUGUGAGAUUGCUCAGUGUGUGCACAGAGUACAGCAUUGUGAGGUUACUCAGUGUGUGCACAGAGUACUGCAUCAUCAGAUUACUCAGUGUGUGCACAGAGUACUGCAUUGUGAGAUUACUCAGUGUGUGCACAGAGUACUGCAUUGUGAGAUUACUCAGUGUGUGCACAGAGUACAGCAUUGUGAGAUUACUCAGUGUGUGCACAGAGUACAGCAUUGUGAGAUUACUCAGUGUGAGCACAGAGUACUGCAUUGUGAGAUUACUCAGUGUGAGCACAGAGUACUGCAUCAUCAGAUUACUCAGUGUGAGCACAGAGUACUGCAUCAUCAGAUUACUCAGUGUGUGCACAGAGUACUGCAUUGUGAGAUUACUCAGUGUGUGCACAGAGUACUGCAUUGUGAGAUUACUCAGUGUGUGCACAGAGUACUGCAUCAUCAGAUUACUCAGUGUGUGCACAGAGUACUGCAUCAUCAGAUUACUCAGUGUGAGCACAGAGUACUGCACUGUGAGAUUACUCAGUGUGUGCACAGAGUACUGCAUUGUGAGAUUACUCAGUGUGAGCACAGAGUACUGCAUUGUGAGAUUACUCAGUGUGUGCACAGAGUACAGCAUUGUGAGAUUGCUCAGUGUGUGCACAGAGUACUGCACUGUCAGAUUGUUCAGUGUGUGUCAAACCAGCUUUAGCAGCACUGAGAGAGAACUGACUUCAUUAACACUGGAGAUCUUGGAGACAGAUCAAGUACUCCUAUGCAGGGCAACACAAGGCACUGCAUUGAAGGAAGUCUUCCAAGAGCAGAGAAAUUCUCUCCUGGACACUACUUCCACAGAAUUUUCAGAUAGUUCCAUUUAACUUCCAAGUUCGUUGAUCAACUGUCAUGGGGAGAAGGGAUAGACGUCACGGAGCAUUGUGUCAUUAACAUUCGUUGCUGAAGAAGACUGGGAAGCAAUUCUAAAUUUGCAGCAGCCACGAGGUCCAUGGGCAGAGGUGGACAGAAGUGAGGACUGUCCAAAUGGUGGACUGCUUUGAGCAAGUGAAUGAGUCGUUGCAACUCCACAACUGGGUACGAUAAAAACGCUUCCAUAAACAAUGUAAAAUCAACUGGGUAAGGCGUAAUCCCAUUUAUUUACAGUUCAAAAAUAAACAAAGCGAGUCGCUGACAUCUGAAGUGAGAAGAGAUACCCGCCAUGGGCGAGCUUAGUGAAGAUUCAGCUUCAGGCGUUAGGGAUGGUUUCGUCCCUGAUGGGUUGUUGGUUACGAGCACAUGUUUGUUCUCCACGAGCAUACAUUUUAUUUCUGAGUCGUGUAUAUUUUUUUCUUCAUCCUGAAUCAGCAAAACAGUUACAAGCAAGCAAUGUCAACAUAGUUUCUUUUGCAUGUAUUAAAGUUUGGACCGUUCAGUCAAUCGUUUAAAGGACUAGGUAUGUGGGAGGAAGUGGCCCACAAAGGCUGAAGAGUUAAGUAUUUAAAGACUCAGAAUUACUUGAGAUAGUGAAAAAACGUUAGAGAGAAAAAUUUGAGCUUGGCUUCGUAGUCUAAAUUUCUUUGUCAGUAAAAACCUUCAUUUGUGGUAAAAUUUGGGCAGGGGAGUAAUGGUAUUUGAUAAGGGGUGGGGAAGAAUGUGAACUCAAAAUUAUAACCCAUUUUCUUUCUUUUUAACAUUUUCAGGUCAACACCAAACGUUUAGGUUCUGUGUGAUCAAAAUAGAAGGUCUUCACGUAUAUGGACCUGUCCUCCGCUAAGAUGUAAUUAUCAGUUGAUCAGGUUGAAAGACGGCUGAGUAGAUCCGGCACUAACAACAGAAUCAUCACACCAUGGAGAAACAAAUGUUCUAACAAUGUUCAUAACUCUACACGAUCCUUUCCUUUUUCACCACAAUCUAUGCUUCCCCAUCUGGCAGACAAGUAUGGAUCCCUUUCAACAUGGUAGGUAACAUUCCAGAUUGGAUAAUAAAAGUCUCUGUGGGAGAA
rnacentral:sRNA from 1 species